rnacentral:rRNA from 1 species
GACGAACGCUGGCGGCGUGCCUAAUACAUGCAAGUCGAACGCAGUGGGGACGGGUGAGUAACACGUGGGUAACCUCCCAUCAGAGGGGAUAACACUUGGAAUCAGGUGCUAACACGAUAUUGUUGGAUGGACCCGCGGUGCAUUAGCUUGUUCGUGAGGUAACGGCUCACCAAGGCAACGAUGCAUAGCCUACUUGGGUGGUUGGGCGGCCACACUGAGACUGAGACGCGGUCCAGGCUCCUACGAGAGGCAGCAGUAGGGGAUCUUCGGCAAUGGGCGGAAGUCUGACCGAGCAACGCCGCGUGAGUGAAGAAGGGUUUCGGGUCGUAAACCUCUGUUGUUAGGGAAGCGGUAUCUAGCCAAAAAGCCACGGCUAACUACGUGCCAGCAGCCGCGGUAAUAC